rnacentral:rRNA from 1 species
UACGUAGGGUGCGAGCGUUAAUCGGAAUUACUGGGCGUAAAGCGUGCGUAGGCGGUUCGUUAUGUCUGCUGUGAAAGCCCCGGGCUCAACCUGGAAUGGCAAUGGAUACUGGCAAGCUAGAGUGCGGUAGGAAGGUAGUGGAAUUCCCGGUGUAAGCGGUGAAAUGCGUAGAGAUCGGAGGAACACCAGUGGCGAAGGCGGCGAUCUGGGUAGAUACUGACGCUGAGGUGCGAAAGCGUGGGGAGCAAACAGG